CUGGUAUCCACUGGAGAUGAAAAUGGUUUGCAGAGCUGUGAUUACAAUAAAAUGUGCUGAGAUUUUUACGUGGAUCAUCCAAAAACUGACUUUUUCUCCAGACAUAACUGGAAACAUCCAUUGACUUACAGCUGGCAUUCUACGUGAGAUGCAAGUGACAGAGAUUGCAACAGUAGAAAGACCAUGUGACAUCAACCAGGCCCCUAAUUGAUCUGACUCAGGUCAAAAUUAGCAAGCUGAAUCUCUCCAAUGUAUACUCAUGCUGGAAAUUGAAGUUGUUUCCUCCCUCUCAAUUUUGGAAAUGGACCAACUGCUCCAGAAGAAGUUGUUGUUGCAGAGAAAAUUGCACAUUUUAUAAUGUUGGAUGGCAAGGCUCAUGACAGGAUCAAAGAGCCUCCUGACAAGAGAGCAGCUCAUUCUGAGCAGUGAACCUGUCAGGUAACCCUGUCCUCUGGUAAACAAACCGAUGGGCUGGUGCUUCCCCAAGGGAGUGAACUACAAGAAGCCACAGAGGCGAAAAGCAACUGAACUCUGACUUGAUGGAAAAGGUGUAAGAAGUUAUGCCUAAGACCCCAAAACUCACAGUUAAAACUGUCCCCUAAUCAUCUGCAUUUGUUUAUUAAAGAAUACUUUUAUGUGGAAUACAAAUCAGUAAAUUGUUAAGACUUGAUCUUAUUCCUUGAUCUUUCUUGUAAAUAAACUCGAACAU